rnacentral:piRNA from 1 species
CUUGGAAUUUGUGGCUGUGAGAU